GACGAACGCUGGCGGCGUGCUUAACACAUGCAAGUCGAACGAAGAGCGACGGAAGCUUGCUUCUCUCAAUCUUAGUGGCGAACGGGUGAGUAACGCGUAAUCAACCUGCCCUUCAGAGGGGGACAACAGUUGGAAACGACUGCUAAUACCGCAUACGAUCUAACCUCGGCAUCGAGGAUAGAUGAAAGGUGGCCUCUACAUGUAAGCUAUCACUGAAGGAGGGGAUUGCGUCUGAUUAGCUAGUUGGAGGGGUAACGGCCCACCAAGGCGAUGAUCAGUAGCCGGUCUGAGAGGAUGAACGGCCACAUUGGGACUGAGACACGGCCCAGACGCCUACGGGAGGCAGCAGGGGGGAAUCUUCCGCAAUGGACGAAAGUCUGACGGAGCAACGCCGCGUGAGUGAUGACGGCCGUCGGGUUGUAAAGCUCUGUUAAUCGGGACGAAAGGCCUUCUUGCGAAUAGUGAGAAGGAUUGACGGUACCGGAAUAGAAAGCCACGGCUAACUACGUG
rnacentral:rRNA from 1 species